GAAGCGGUGGAAAUGACGGCGAUCACCUUCCUCCGCUCUGAUUUCUCCACCUCAGCUCCCGCCAAUCGAUUACCAGCCCCGGCCCUACAAUGGUCCUGCGAUCACCUUCCUCCGCUCUGAUUACUGUGUCAGACUAACAUCUUUUGCUUUCUCAGCCUUUUGAAGUAAGAGUAAACUUUGGCCAAAUUUUCCGAGGAAGAAUCCACAUAACGGAGGUGAAUGAUGUUGGUACAAAUGAAGAACCUUUUGCCAAAUUCAGAGUUGGGCAAUCGGGUGUCUGCAAAAAGCCCUGUCAUACGGAUAAUAAAAAGAGUCAACUCUGGGACUCUGGGAGCUUUCUGUAAAGCCUGCAAUACUUAGAGAAUUUGGUGAGCUGACUGAAGUAAGGGAACAACUUGAGUUUGUUUCUGGAGAGCUUGUCUGCGGUUAUGUCUACAAAGUGGAUAAAGAAUGGGUUUGGUUGGCAAUAUCUCGCAAUGUGACAGCACGCAUGUAUAUCCUCUCCCCUCUCUUCUAAGCAUUGGGAGGGAGAAGAUCAAGUUUCUGUUUCUGUUUAAGAAGCAGAUGAGUCUUGGAAGCAAAGCAAACCAGCUGAGUAGUUAUUUAAAAUUUUGAAAAAAAUUCUUAAGAACCCUUAACUUAAGAAACUAGCAUUGGAGGUUCAAAAUUAUGUGUUUCUUAACAUUAACUCUUAACUUAAUUUUAAUACUAAAAUAUUGACUAAGAACCCACUUAGGGGU